rnacentral:rRNA from 1 species
AUUGAACGCUGGCGGCAGGCCUAACACAUGCAAGUCGAACGGUAACAGGAAGAAGCUUGCUUCUUUGCUGACGAGUGGCGGACGGGUGAGUAAUGUCUGGGAAACUGCCUGAUGGAGGGGGAUAACUACUGGAAACGGUAGCUAAUACCGCAUAACGUCGCAAGCCCAAAGAGGGGGACCUUCGGGCCUCUUGCCAUCUGAUGUGCCCAGAUGGGAUUAGCUAGUAGGUGGGGUAACGGCUCACCUAGGCGACGAUCCCUAGCUGGUCUGAGAGGAUGACCAGCCACACUGGAACUGAGACACGGUCCAGACUCCUACGGGAGGCAGCAGUGGGGAAUAUUGCACAAUGGGCGCAAGCCUGAUGCAGCCAUGCCGCGUGUAUGAAGAAGGCCUUCGGGUUGUAAAGUACUUUCAGCGGGGAGGAAGGGAGUAAAGUUAAUACCUUUGCUCAUUGACGUUACCCGCAGAAGAAGCACCGGCUAACUCCGUG